rnacentral:rRNA from 1 species
UACGUAGGAUCCGAGCGUUGUCCGGAUUUACUGGGUGUAAAGGGUGCGCAGGCGGACUGGUAAGUCAGUGGUGAAAUCUCGUCGCUUAACGACGAAACUGCCUUUGAUACUAUCAGUCUUGAAUCCGGUAGAGAUCUGUGGAAUUCCGAGUGUAGCAGUGAAAUGCGUAGAUAUGUGGAGGAAUACCGAUGGCGAAGGCAGCCCCCUGGGAUAACACUGACGCUCAUGCACGAAAGCGUGGGGAGCAAACAGG